rnacentral:rRNA from 1 species
GACGAACGCUGGCGGCGUGCUUAACACAUGCAAGUCGAACGGAAAGGCCCUGCUUUUGUGGGGUGCUCGAGUGGCGAACGGGUGAGUAACACGUGAGUAACCUGCCCUUGACUUUGGGAUAACUUCAGGAAACUGGGGCUAAUACCGGAUAGGAGCUCCUGCUGCAUGGGGGGGGUUGGAAAGUUUCGGCGGUUGGGGAUGGACUCGCGGCUUAUCAGCUUGUUGGUGGGGUAGUGGCUUACCAAGGCUUUGGCGGGUAGCCGGCCUGAGAGGGUGACCGGCCACAGUGGGACUGUGAUACGGCCCAGACUCCUACGGGAGGCAGAAGUGGGGAAUAUUGCACAAUGGGCGGAAGCCUGAUGCAGCAACGCCGCGUGCGGGAUGACGGCCUUCGUGUUGUAAACCGCUUUCGCCUGUGACGAAGCGUGAGUGACGGUAAUGGGUAAAGAAGCACCGGCUAACUACGUG